rnacentral:rRNA from 1 species
CCUACGGGAGACAGCAGUGAGGAAUAUUGGUCAAUGGCCGGAAGCCUGAACCAGCCAUGCCGCGUGAAGGUCAGUGCCCUAUGGGCGUGUAACCUCUUUUGUGCGGGAGCAAUAAUGGUCACGUGUGGCCAGACGAGAGUACCGUACGAAUAAGCAUCGGCUAACUCCGUGCCAGCAGCCGCGGUAAUACGGGGGAUGCAAGCGUUAUCCGGAUUUAUUGGGUGUAAAGGGUGCGUAGGCUGUGAGGUAAGUCAGCGGUGAAAUGUCCCCGGUCAACGGGGGGAAGUGCCAUUGAUACUGCCGUGCUGGAGUGCGGAUGCCGCGGGCGGAAUGUGUGGUGUAGCGGUGAAAUGCAUAGAUAUCACACAGAACACCGAUUGCGAAGGCAGCUCACGAAUCCGCGAUUGACGCUGAUGCACGAAAGCGUGGGUAUCAAACAGGAUUAGAUACCCUAGUAGUC